rnacentral:lncRNA from 1 species
AAUGCAGAGGUGGGGGACAGAGUGGGUGGGGAGGGGAGCCGCCAUACAGUGGCCAGGACCAGCUUUGCCCAAGUGGUGGCAACCGCAUGACCACAGGAACGAUGGCGUGAGCCCCGUGGCAACCUGGAGGAAGGGCCAAGCCACUGGUGAAUAUGCUGCAAAAAAUAUGCUGGAACUUCUAUGAAUACCACAGGGUGUGAGAAGAAAACAUUAGAACUUCUAUUUUGUACCUGUGUUACUCCACAACAAGAAAGCAAUCAGCUUGAUCAAUGCCUACUGUAAAGACGGCACCGCCCUCCGGAGGUCCUUUCUCAGCCCUGGUGUUCGGACAGCCACAUCCCCUCGCAGCAGGGGGAGGCCUGAAGCAUAGAGGGGCCCAUGCAGGUCUAUUCUGUUUCAGCGAAUUGCCUGGGAAAUAAUCCAGGAUCCAUUUCGUGUGGUCAUCUUGUCUCCCUGGUCCCCUCCAGCCUUUCCUCAUCUUUUGUGACCUGGUCACUCUGGAAGGGCGCUGGCCAGUUAGUCCACAGGAUGGGCCUCCCCUGGGGCUUUUCUGAUGCUUCCUUAUGAUGGCACUGGCAUCCUGAGGGGGAGGACCACAGAGAGGAGGUGCUCCUCAUCACACCACAUGGGGGUCCAUGCACCAGUGCCACUGCUUUCCAGGGCUCUUCACCUUCAUCACUGGUGGAGGUGGCGUCUGCCAAGAAGCAGAAAGUUGAGGCUUAGAAGGUGCACGGCCCUACCUCUUCCGAGGUGCCCCUGCGGGCUGUCUACAGACCAGGCAGCACAUGCCUGAUAGCAGCUGCAUAAGGAAAAGCAGGAGCCAGCUCGUGCACAGUGGCCUCAAGUGUGCACUGGGCAUGUUCUCUGCCUCACCAUCCCUGUGUGACAGAUGAAGCAUGGCAAGCCAGGCUCCAGAGAAGCAUCCUGAGGACCAGUGUUCCUAGGGACCUCAUUCUUCUGACCUCAUUCCUACAACGUUUUGUCACUGCAAAGGAAAUCACCAAGGCCAGCAUGACAGCCCUCAACAGAAGCCAAGGCCAAGUCCUCGAACUUCCUAGUCUGCACAAUGUCUGUCUUUCAGACACUUCUGAUGAAACUGAAAAUGCCACCAGGGAGAAGCAGCUGAACAAUGUGAGAGAUAGAAUGGAUGCCCUAAAGAAGAGGAUGCAGCAGAAAUUAGGAAGAGAUAAAGAAGAGCAACAUUCCUUAAGAAAUGCCCUAUGGUUGGGAAUGGCCAUUUCAUGUUAGAAACAAAGGUGAUAAUAUUCAA